rnacentral:rRNA from 1 species
CCUACGGGCGGCAGCAGUAGGGAAUCUUGCACAAUGGGCGCAAGCCUGAUGGAGCAACACCGCGUGAGUGAAGAAGGGGUUCGGCUCGUAAAGCUCUGUUGUUGGAGAAGAACGUGCGUGAGAGUAACUGUUCACGCAGUGACGGUAUCCAACCAGAAAGUCACGGCUAACUACGUGCCAGCAGCCGCGGUAAUACGGAGGUGGGAAGCGUUAUCCGGAUUUAUUGGGCGUAAAGCUGCCGCAGGCGGUUGUAUAGGUCUGAGGUGAAAGCCUUCGGCUGAACCGAAGAAGUGCCUCUGAAACUGGGCAACUUGAGUGCAGCAGAGGACGGAGGAACGUCAUGUGUAGUGGUGGAAUGCGUAGAUAUAUGGAAGAACACCAGUGGCGAAGGCAGCUGUCUGGUCUGCAACUGACGCUGAGGCACGAAAGCGUGGGUAGCGAACAGGAUUAGAUACCCCUGUAGUC